AACGAACGCUGGCGGCAUGCCUAACACAUGCAAGUCGAACGAGAUCUUCGGGUCUAGUGGCGCACGGGUGCGUAACGCGUGGGAAUCUGCCCUUUGGUUCGGAAUAACAGUUGGAAACGACUGCUAAUACCGGAUGAUGACGAAAGUCCAAAGAUUUAUCGCCAGAGGAUGAGCCCGCGUAGGAUUAGCUAGUAGGUGUGGUAAAGGCGCACCAAGGCGACGAUCCUUAGCUGGUCUGAGAGGAUGAUCAGCCACACUGGGACUGAGACACGGCCCAGACUCCUACGGGAGGCAGCAGUGGGGAAUAUUGGACAAUGGGCGAAAGCCUGAUUCAGCAAUGCCGCGUGAGUGAUGAAGGCCUUAGGGUUGUAAAGCUCUUUUACCCGGGAUGAUAAUGACAGUACCGGGAGAAUAAGCUCCGGCUAACUCCGUGCCAGCCGCCGCGGUAA
rnacentral:rRNA from 1 species